UUGUCAGCCGCCGCGGUAAGACGUAGGGGGCCAGCGUUGUUCGGAAUUACUGGGUGUAAAGGGUUCGUAGGCGGUGCGGCAAGUUGGGAGUGAAAUCUCUGGGCUCAACCCAGAGGCUGCUUCCAAAACUGCUGUGCUCGAGUGUGAGAGAGGCUCGUGGAAUUGCAGGUGUAGCGGUGAAAUGCGUAGAUAUCUGCAGGAACACCCGUGGCGAAAGCGGCGAGCUGGAUCACUACUGACGCUGAGGAACGAAAGCUAGGGGAGCAAACAGGAUUAGAAACCCCCGUAGUCC
rnacentral:rRNA from 1 species